rnacentral:misc_RNA from 1 species
UGUGGGAGCGGGCUUGCUCGCGAUGAAAGCAACGCGGUCUGCCAGAUCCACCGCGUCGCCUGAAUCGCGAGCAAGCCCGCUCCCACA